AACGUAGGAGGCAAGCGUUAUCCGGAUUUACUGGGCGUAAAGGGCGUGCAGGUGGUUUAGUAAGUGGUGCGUGAAAUCCCUCGGCUCAACCAAGGAAGUGCAUCCGAAACUGCUGAGCUUGAGUACGAAAGAGGAUCGCGGAAUUCCCGGUGUAGAGGUGAAAUUCGUAGAUAUCGGGAGGAACACCAGUGGCGAAGGCGGCGAUCUGGGUCGAUACUGACGCUGAGGUGCGAAAGCGUGGGGAGCAAACAGG
rnacentral:rRNA from 1 species